AUAUAUAUAUUUGUGUAUUUAAUAAAGUUUUAUAAAAAUGUUUUUUUUUAGUAAAAAUUUUGAAAUAAUAUUUUUAUUUAUAGUUUAAAGUAAUGUAAAUGAAUUUUAUUAAAAAUAGAUAAGUAAAAUUUUAUUUGUACCUUUUGUAUCAGGGUUAAUUAAUAUAUUUUAAUAAUUUAUAUGUCUCGAAAAUAAAUGAUCUAAAUAUAUAUAAAUAUAAUAAUUUUUUUGUUGAAUAAAGAAAUUAAAUAUAUAUUUAGAAAUUAGAUGUUUUUCGUAUUUAUUGAUAUCUAGUUUUUUUUUAAAUAAAUUUAAUUUAUAUUUAAUAUUAUUUAUUAAAAUAUUAAUAUUUUAAUAAUUUUUUUAAAUAAAAAAUUUAUGGGAUAAACUGUAAAUUUAAUAUAUUAUAUUAUUUUUAAAUUUAAAAUUUUGAUUUUAAAAUUAAUUAAUAAUAGAAAAAAUUUUAUAAUUUAUUUAUUUUUAUUUAAAAAUUAUAAAUUUAUAAGUUAUUUAUAUAUAUAUAUAAUUUUUAAAAAAAAAAAAGUUUAAAUUUAAAAAAUUUUAUUAUAAUGAUUAAAUUAGUAAUAAUAUAUAUAUAUAUAUAUUAUGUUUAAAUUAUAAAUAAAAUAAUUAUAUAUAUAUAAGGAAUUAGGCAAAAUAAUUAUAUUCACCUGUUUAACAAAAACAUGUCUUAUUGAUAAUAAUUUUAAGUCGAUCUGCCCAAUGAUAAUUUUAUUAAAUGGCUGCAGUAUAAUUGACUGUACAAAGGUAGCAUAAUCAAUUGAUUUUUAAAUGAAAUCUGGAAUGAAAGGAUUAAUGAAAUAUAUACUGUCUCAUAUAUAUUUUAUGAAUUUAAAAUUUUAAUAAAAAUGUUAAAAUUUUUUUAUGGGACGAUAAGACCCUAUAGAAUUUUAUAUAAAUUUAUUUUUGUAUUUAAUAUAAAAUUUAAAUUUAUAUUUAAUUGGGAGAAUUAUUAAAUUUAAUAAAUUUUGAUUUUUAUUUACUUAAAUUAGAGAAAAAAUUUUGAUCUUUAAUUUAAAAUUAAUAGAAUAAAUUACCUUAGGGAUAACAGCGUUAUAUUUUUUUAUAGAUCUUAUAGAAAAAAAUGAUUGCGACCUCGAUGUUGAAUUAAGAUAAAUUUUAAAUGUAGAAGUUUAAUAAUUAAGUCUGUUCGACUUUUAAAAUCUUACAUGAUUUGAGUUCAAAUCGACGUAAGUCAGAUUGGUUUCUAUCUAUAAAUAAAUUUUAAAUUAUUUGUACGAAAGGACUAUAAUUUAUAAAUUAUUUAUUAAGAAUUAAUAAAUAAGUAAUAUUAUUUUAACAUAUUAGUGUUUUAAAUUUAGAAUUUAAAUUAAAUUAU
rnacentral:rRNA from 1 species